GUGCUUGUUUUGGCAGCACAUAUAUGAAAAUUGGAACGAUAUAGACUAGAUUAGCGUGGCCCCUGUGCAAGGAUGACACACAAAUUCUUGAAGCAUUCCAUAUUUUU